CACGUAGGGGACGAGCGUUGUCCGGAUUCAUUGGGCGUAAAGCGCGCGUAGGCGGCUCGGAAAGUCGGGCGUGAAAUGCCGGGGCUCAACCCCGGGACUGCGUCCGAUACUUCCGAGCUGGAGGUAGGUAGGGGAGAUCGGAAUUCCUGGUGUAGCGGUGAAAUGCGUAGAGAUGGGGGAGAACACUCGUGGCGAAGGCGGCCAGCUAGACCAGUUCUGACACUGAGGCGCGACAGCGUGGGGAGCAAACGGG
rnacentral:rRNA from 1 species